AACCUUAUGGACCUGCGGGCGUAUACCUGCGGAAGGAUCAUUACCACGCGAUCCAAAACGCUCACUCACGUGUAACAACGUAACCCAUGGUGCAAGCCGUCGCAGCGAUGUGCGGUUUGGGCAGCCUAACAGCCAGUGGUUUAGCGACACCCCCGUAACUGGGUGUGUCCGUGGCUCUGCCGUUCUCACCAGUAACUGAACCACACAUUCUUCACAAACCAAUCAUUUCAAACCCUGGAC
rnacentral:misc_RNA from 1 species